rnacentral:rRNA from 1 species
AGGCAGCAGUGAGGAUAUUGGUCAAUGGACGAGAGUCUGAACCAGCCAAGUAGCGUGAAGGAUGACUGCCCUAUGGGUUGUAAACUUCUUUUAUACGGGAAUAAAGUUAGGCACGUGUGCCUUUUUGUAUGUACCGUAUGAAUAAGGAUCGGCUAACUCCGUGCCAGCAGCCGCGGUAAUACGGAGGAUCCGAGCGUUAUCCGGAUUUAUUGGGUUUAAAGGGAGCGUAGGCGGAUGCUUAAGUCAGUUGUGAAAGUUUGCGGCUCAACCGUAAAAUUGCAGUUGAUACUGGGUGUCUUGAGUACAGUAGAGGCAGGCGGAAUUCGUGGUGUAGCGGUGAAAUGCUUAGAUAUCACGA